rnacentral:tRNA from 1 species
UCCCUGGCAGUCCAGUGGUUAAGACUCUGCACUUUCACUGCCAAGGGCCCUGGUUCAAUCCCUGGUUGGGGAA